rnacentral:rRNA from 1 species
UACGAAGGGGGCUAGCGUUGUUCGGAUUUACUGGGCGUAAAGCGCACGUAGGCGGAUCGUUAAGUGAGGGGUGAAAUCCCAGGGCUCAACCCUGGAACUGCCUUUCAUACUGGCGAUCUAGAGUCCGGAAGAGGUGAGUGGAACUCCUAGUGUAGAGGUGGAAUUCGUAGAUAUCGGGAGGAACACCAGUGGCGAAGGCGGCUCUCUGGACCGGUUCUGACGCUCAGGCGCGAAAGCGUGGGGAGCGAUCCGG